ACAUGCAAGUCGAGCGAACGGACGAGAAGCUUGCUUCUCUGAUGUUAGCGGCGGACGGGUGAGUAACACGUGGAUAACCUACCUAUAAGACUGGGAUAACUUCGGGAAACCGGAGCUAAUACCGGAUAAUAUUUUGAACCGCAUGGUUCAAAAGUGAAAGACGGUCUUGCUGUCACUUAUAGAUGGAUCCGCGCUGCAUUAGCUAGUUGGUAAGGUAACGGCUUACCAAGGCAACGAUGCAUAGCCGACCUGAGAGGGUGAUCGGCCACACUGGAACUGAGACACGGUCCAGACUCCUACGGGAGGCAGCAGUAGGGAAUCUUCCGCAAUGGGCGAAAGCCUGACGGAGCAACGCCGCGUGAGUGAUGAAGGUCUUCGGAUCGUAAAACUCUGUUAUUAGGGAAGAACAUAUGUGUAAGUAACUGUGCACAUCUUGACGGUACCUAAUCAGAAAGCCACGGCUAACUACGUGCCAGCAGCCGCGGUAAUACGUAGGUGGCAAGCGUUAUCCGGAAUUAUUGGGCGUAAAGCGCGCGUAGGCGGUUUUUUAAGUCUGAUGUGAAAGCCCACGGCUCAACCGUGGAGGGUCAUUGGAAACUGGAAAACUUGAGUGCAGAAGAGGAAAGUGGAAUUCCAUGUGUAGCGGUGAAAUGCGCAGAGAUAUGGAGGAACACCAGUGGCGAAGGCGACUUUCUGGUCUGUAACUGACGCUGAUGUGCGAAAGCGUGGGGAUCAAACAGGAUUAGAUACCCUGGUAGUCCACGCCGUAAACGAUGAGUGCUAAGUGUUAGGGGGUUUCCGCCCCUUAGUGCUGCAGCUAACGCAUUAAGCACUCCGCCUGGGGAGUACGACCGCAAGGUUGAAACUCAAAGGAAUUGACGGGGACCCGCACAAGCGGUGGAGCAUGUGGUUUAAUUCGAAGCAACGCGAAGAACCUUACCAAAUCUUGACAUCCUUUGACAACUCUAGAGAUAGAGCCUUCCCCUUCGGGGGACAAAGUGACAGGUGGUGCAUGGUUGUCGUCAGCUCGUGUCGUGAGAUGUUGGGUUAAGUCCCGCAACGAGCGCAACCCUUAAGCUUAGUUGCCAUCAUUAAGUUGGGCACUCUAAGUUGACUGCCGGUGACAAACCGGAGGAAGGUGGGGAUGACGUCAAAUCAUCAUGCCCCUUAUGAUUUGGGCUACACACGUGCUACAAUGGACAAUACAAAGGGCAGCGAAACCGCGAGGUCAAGCAAAUCCCAUAAAGUUGUUCUCAGUUCGGAUUGUAGUCUGCAACUCGACUACAUGAAGCUGGAAUCGCUAGUAAUCGUAGAUCAGCAUGCUACGGUGAAUACGUUCCCGGGUCUUGUACACACCGCCCGUCACACCACGAGAGUUUGUAACACCCGAAGCCGGUGGAGUAACCUUUUA
rnacentral:rRNA from 1 species